UUUGUGGGGUGCUCGAGUGGCGAACGGGUGAGUAACACGUGAGUAACCUGCCCUUGACUUUGGGAUAACUUCAGGAAACUGGGGCUAAUACCGGAUAGGAGCACCUGCUGCAUGGUGGGGGUUGGAAAGUUUCGGCGGUUGGGGAUGGACUCGCGGCUUAUCAGCUUGUUGGUGGGGUAGUGGCUUACCAAGGCUUUGACGGGUAGCCGGCCUGAGAGGGUGACCGGCCACAUUGGGACUGAGAUACGGCCCAG
rnacentral:rRNA from 1 species